rnacentral:rRNA from 1 species
UACGCUGGCGGCACGCCUUAUACAUGCAAGUCGAACGAAGUAGUAAUACUUAGUGGCAGACGGGUGAGUAACAUGUAGGUAUCUUCCCUUUGGUGAGGAAUAACACGAGGAAACUUGUGCUAAUACCUCAUAAGUCUUUACGGAGAAAGCUUUAUGCGCCGAAGGAUGAGCCUGCACUUGAUUAGUUUGUUGGUGGGGUAAUGGCCUACCAAGACUUUGAUCUAUAGCUGAUCUGAGAGGAUGAUCAGCCACAUUGGGACUGAGACACGGCCCAAACUCCUACGGGAGGCAGCAGUAGGGAAUAUUGCACAAUGGAGGAAACUCUGAUGCAGCGAUGCCGCGUGAGUGAAGAAGGCCUUUGGGUUGUAAAGCUCUUUCGUCGGGGAAGAAAAUGACUGUACCCGAAUAAGAAGGUCCGGCUAACUU